GAUACUUGGGUACCAGAGAAUAUUCCAAGCCAAAUGCGGGAGAGAAUAAAAAGUUUCUUGGCCAUUUUAAUUGAUCAUUAACUUGGUAGUCUUAAAUCAUUAACUACUUACUAUAGGGUGCACACAGUCUACAACUAAAUAGCGACAAAUUGGAACAGAGCAGAAUGCUAAUGUCAUUAUCAUUCUAACGGUGGCUUAUUAGAAAGGAUUACGAUAAGUAGAAGGCAAAAUCAGACUUGUCGAGUAUGCAGAAAAAUGCCCCUUUAAGCAACUGGCCGCUCAAAGCUCCAGGAGAGUACCGACUGAAAUUUACUCAGAGGUAUUUUUGUAUGAACAAUUCCUUAUUCCUCCCUCUCACAAGGCACUUGUCCUCUUCCCAAAGCAGCUGCUUGUCUGUUUACCCGACCACAUAUGGCUCUUUAUGCUGACUUCACUUGUGGCUCCUCUAUCUGCAGGGUUAGAGGCAACCUUUUGGAUGGUACAUCUUGAGCAUUGGAUUAAAGCCAGGUGAUACUGAAGGCUGAAGCUGCCCUUGUCCUCUACCCAAAGCAGCUGCUUGUCUGUUAUCCGACCACAUAUGGCUCUUUGAGAGUACCGACUGAAAUUUACUCAGAGGUAUUUUUGUAUGAACAAUUCCUUAUUCCUCCCUCUCACAAGGCACUUGUCCUCUUCCCAAAGCAGCUGCUUGUCUGUUUACCCGACCACAUAUGGCUCUUUAUGCUGACUUCACUUGUGGCUCCUCUAUCUGCAGGGUUAGAGGCAACCUUUUGGAUGGUACAUCUUGAGCAUUGGAUUAAAGCCAGGUGAUACUGAAGGCUGAAGCUGCAACUGACAAGAAAACUGGCGAACCUCAAAGAACUAGAAGCAGUUUUUUCUACUGAUGCAAUAGUGCAUCUUCCCGGACUUGUAUUAUAAAUCGAUCUCCAUUUCUUGAGUAGCAC
rnacentral:lncRNA from 1 species